UCCCUCAUUCGCUCAGUAGUCAGUGUAGAUACUGUCUCUUUCCAUCAGCAGCUACAUCUGGCUACUGGGUCUCUGAUGGCAUCU
rnacentral:pre_miRNA from 1 species